rnacentral:rRNA from 1 species
UACGUAGGGGGCUAGCGUUGUCCGGAUUUAUUGGGCGUAAAGAGCGUGUAGGCGGCCAGGUAGGUCUGCUGUGAAAACUCGAGGCUCAACCUCGAGACGUCGGCGGAAACCAUCUGGCUAGAGUCCGGAAGAGGAGAGUGGAAUUCCUGGUGUAGCGGUGAAAUGCGCAGAUAUCAGGAAGAACACCCGUGGCGAAGGCGGCUCUCUGGGACGGUACUGACGCUGAGACGCGAAAGCGUGGGAAGCGAACAGG